GUUUUGUUAGAUUUACACCUAUUUCAUUUUCUUGGAGCAAUUAUAAAUGGUAGUGCAUUUUAAAUCUUGAUGUACAUAUGUUCAUUUUUAGUAUAUGUAAAUACAGUUGAUUUUUUGUUUCAAUUUUCCUUUUCAAUAUUCCGUAGUUUUCGAUGUACAUGUCUUGCAUGGCUCUCAUUAACUUUAUUCCACAAUAUUUUAAAUUUCAUUGUAAAUAGAGUUUUAAAAUUUUUUAUUGAUUGACUAUUGUCUGCUAGUAUAUAGAAAUCCAAUUUACAAAUAUUGAUUUUGUAUUCUGCAAAUCUUAAAUUCCUGUAACACCUCUAGUACCUUGUUUGUAACCUCCUUAGGAUUUUUUAUGUAUACAGUCAGGUCAUCUGCAAAUGAGGACCAUUUAACUUCUUCCAUUUCAAUUUUUGUAGUUUUUAACCCUGUUUUUCUUUUUGUAUUAUAUUAGUUAGGCCCUUCAGUGCAAUGUUAAAGUAGUAAGAAUGGACAUAACUUAGUUUGUUCCUAAUCAUAAAUACAAAUAACUGGGCUGUUUUCCAUUCAUAAUGGUGUUAACUGUGGGGGUGGGGGGUUGUUUUUGUUUUUGUUUUGACAGAGUCUCACUCUGUUGCCAGGCACCAGACUGGAGUGCAGUGGCACAAUCUCGGCUCACUGCAACCUCCGCCUUCCAGUUUCAAGCAAUUCUCCUGCCUCAGCCUCCCGAGUAGCUGAGAUUACAGGCACACACCACCACGCCCAGCUAAUUUUUGUAUUUUUAGUAGAGACGGGGUUUCACCAUGUUGGCCAGGAUGGUCUUGAUCUCUUGACCUCGUGAUAGGCACACCUCGGCCUCCCAAAGUGCUGGGAUUAUAGGCGUGAGCCACCGCGCCUGGCGACGUGGGGUUUUUUAUUUUUUAUUUUAUUUUAUUUUAUUUUGAGACGGAGUUUCGCUGUUGUUACCCAGACUGGAGUGCAAUGGCACGAUCUCGGCUCACGGCAACCUCCGCCUUCUGGGUUCAAGAGAUUCUCCUGCCUCAGCCUCCCGAGUAGCUGGGAUUACAGGCGCGCACCACCAUGCCCAGCUAAUUUUUGUAUUUUUGGUAGAGACGGGGUUUCACCUUGUUGACC
rnacentral:lncRNA from 1 species